rnacentral:rRNA from 1 species
AUUGAACGCUGGCGGCAGGCCUAACACAUGCAAGUCGAGCGAGCGGCGGACGGGUGAUAAAUGUGUGGGAAACCGUCCGAUGGAGGGGGAUAACUACUGGAAGCGGUUACUAAUACCGCUUACCAUCAGAUGUGCCCCGGUGGGAUUAGCUAGUAGGUGGGGUAACGGCUCACCAAGGCGACGAUGCCUAGCUGGGCUGAGAGGAUGAUCAGCCACACUGGAACUGAGACACGGCCCAGACUCCUACGGGAGGCAGCAGUGGGGAAUAUUCCACAAUGGACGAAAGCCUGAUGCAGCCAUGCCGCGUGUGUGAAGAAGGCUUUCGGGUUGUAAAGCACUGUCGGCGGGGAAGCGUUACCUAAAGAAAAAGCACCGGCUAACUCCGUGCCAGCAGCCGCGGUAAUUC